rnacentral:rRNA from 1 species
GACGAACGCUGGCGGCGCGCCUAACACAUGCCAGUCGAGCGAUGAAAUUUUAACCGAUCUCUUCGGAGAGAAGAUAAAAUGGAUUAGCGGCGGACGGGUGAGUAACACGUGAGAAACCUGCCUUUCACAAGGGGAUAGCCUCGGGAAACCGGGAUUAAUACCCUAUGACACAUUUCCUUCGCAUGGAAGAAAUGUUAAAACUCCGGUGGUGAAAGAUGGUCUCGCGCCUGAUUAGCUAGUUGGUGGGGUAACGGCCCACCAAGGCCAUGAUCAGUAACCGGCCUGAGAGGGUGAACGGUCACAUUGGAACUGAGACACGGUCCAAACUCCUACGGGAGGCAGCAGUGGGGAAUAUUGCACAAUGGAGGAAACUCUGAUGCAGCGACGCCGCGUGAGCGAUGAAGGCUUUCGAGUCGUAAAGCUCUGUCCUAUGGGAAGAUAAUGACGGUACCAUAGGAGGAAGCCCCGGCUAACUACGUG